AUACGGAAGGUCCGGGCGUUAUCCGGAUUUAUUGGGUUUAAAGGGAGCGCAGGCGGAGAUGCAAGCGUGACGUCAAAUUUCGGGGCUCAACCCCGUCUCGCGUCGCGAACUGCGUCCCUUGGUUGCGGGAAGGGGAGGCGGAACUCGUGGUGUAGCGGUGAAAUGCAUAGAUAUCACGAAGAACUCCGAUCGCGAAGGCAGCCUUCCGGCCCGUCAACGACGCUCAUGCUCGAAGUUGCGGGUAUCAAACAGGAUUAGAUACCCUGGUAGUCCGCACAGUAAACGAUGGACACCCGCGGUUUGGCCUGUAUGGCUGAGCCGCCAAGCGAAAGCGUUAAGUGUCCCACCUGGGGAGUACGGCGGCAACGGUGAAACUCAAAUGAAUUGACGGGG
rnacentral:rRNA from 1 species